rnacentral:rRNA from 1 species
UAUUGGACAAUGGGCGCAAGCCUGAUCCAGCCAUGCCGCGUGAGUGAUGAAGGCCCUAGGGUUGUAAAGCUCUUUUGUGCGGGAAGAUAAUGACGGUACCGCAAGAAUAAGCCCCGGCUAACUUCGUGCCAGCAGCCGCGGUAAUACGAAGGGGGCUAGCGUUGCUCGGAAUCACUGGGCGUAAAGGGUGCGUAGGCGGGUCUUUAAGUCAGGGGUGAAAUCCUGGGGCUCAACUCCAGAACUGCCUUUGAUACUGAAGAUCUUGAGUUCGGGAGAGGUGAGUGGAACUGCGAGUGUAGAGGUGAAAUUCGUAGAUAUUCGCAAGAACACCAGUGGCGAAGGCGGCUCACUGGCCCGAUACUGACGCUAGCACGAAA